rnacentral:rRNA from 1 species
AUGGAGAGGGUUGACGGAGGAGCGGGGUUGGGUGCGCGUGGGUCUGCGGGGGCGAUGCUGGGCAUGGAGAUGCAUCUCGUCCACCAGCCGCAGCCGCAGAUCCACGCGGCCUCCUCGUUCCAGCAGCCGCCGGAGCACCUCCGCCACGCCAACGGCGGCUUCCAGGUCCAGCACCACCAGGCCAUGCCGAUGAGGCAGCAGCACCCGCCACCGUCGUACGCGGCUUACGUGGCGCCGCCAUCGAGGGCGGUCAACGCGCAUGAAGAGGAGGAGAUGGGCAACGGCGUCGGCGCCGUGCAGCAGCCGGGGGCGGGGACGGCGGGGUGCUCGUGGUCCCGGAUGAAGUGGACGGAUGCGAUGGUGCGUCUGCUCAUCGCGGUGGUGUACAACGCCGGGGAAGACGGGGAGGGCGUGUCUGCAGGAGGCAAGGCGGCGGCGGCCCAUUCGCACGGGAAGGCGGUGGCAUCUGCGGCGGCGCAGCAGAGGAAGGGUAAGUGGAGGUCCGUGUCCCGGGCGAUGGUGGAGAGAGGCUUCAAGGUGUCGCCGCAGCAAUGCGAGGACAAGUUCAACGACCUCAACAAGCGCUACAAGCGAGUCGUCGAACUGCUCGGCCGCGGCACGGCGUGCAACGUGGUCGCGAACCCCGCGCUGCUCGACACCAUGGGCGAGCUCACGGCCAAGGCCAAGGAGGAGGCGCGCAAGCUGCUCAGGUCCAAGCGCCUCUUCUUCCGCGAGAUGUGCCACUACCACAACCCCGGCGGCACCGCAACAGCCUCGCACGGCACCGAAGGCGGCGCCGACUGCUUCGACAACCCGCGGCCGGCAACGGCGCCCGCCGGCCGCCAGGUGGUGAAUUCCUCCACGCGCUCGGAGGACGACAGCGAGGACGACGUCCUCAGUAGCAAAGAGGUUGAAGAGGAGGAGGAGGACGACGACGACUACGACCUGGACGACGUGGAGGAGAAGGCGCCGGGCACCAAGCGCCGCGACGACCGCGUCGACGACAGCAAUGGCUUCCACAACUACGGCGGGCACAAGAACAAGCUCCGUCGUGGCGAGAGCAGCGCGGCCGCGGCCGGGGAAGACAAGGAAGAGAACGGGAACAACAAGCCCGCCCGCAGCACAAUGCAGCAGCUGAAGCGCGAGCUGGCCGCGGUGGAGGCCGGCGGCGACCAGCAGCAGCUGCGGCAGUGGGUGCAACGACGCGCGCUGGAGCUGGAGAAGCAGGAGCUGGCGUACGAGGUCCAGGACUUCGCGCUGGGGAAGCGCCGCUACAAGUGGGAGCAGUUCAAGGCCACCAAGGACUGGGACAUGGAGCAUGAGCGGCUGCGGAUCGAGUGCCUGCGCGUCGACGGCCGGCGCAUGCUGCUCAUGCUCAAGCAGAAGGAGCUCGACCUGGACGACCUCCCGGGCGCCCAGACCCCGCCGCCCGGCGCUGCCUUCCAGCAGCAGCCCGGCUCCAGCCCCUCCACCACAGGGCACCCCAACUAG